UAGCCGUAAACGAUACUCGCUAGGUGUCGGCCACGGUGCGACCGUUGUCGGUGCCGUAGGGAAGCCGUGAAGCGAGCCACCUGGGAAGUACGGCCGCAAGGCUGAAACUUAAAGGAAUUGGCGGGGGAGCACCACAACGGGUGGAGCUUGCGGUUUAAUUGGAUUCAACGCCGGAAAUCUUACCGGGACCGACAGCAACAUGAAGGCCAGGCUGAAGACUUUGCCGGAUUAGCUGAGAGGAGGUGCAUGGCGUAGACGU
rnacentral:rRNA from 1 species